AGAAUACGGACUGUGCAGCGGCGCGCGCUUCCGCGGAGCCGGCGGGGAAAGUCAGCGACGGACAAGGGUACUCGAACAAUCGACGACCGGCCACUUCCCAUUUCAACGGCAAGCAUUUCCUCGGGACCGUUUGCAUUGCUUGAUAUGGCAUCUGUAGACCUCGACAGGCUGUGCCACUGCCUCAGCAGCAUUGCAGUUGAUCAACUGUAUUCCCUGGGCGACGAAGAGUUCCUCUGCGGUCUUAAGAUCAGAGGCCAUCCCCUGGCAGUGGUAGUGUCCAUGAUCCGUGGGCAUUUAACUGCUAUCCGCAACACAAAUAGUCGUCUGAGCGAGAUGUGCGCAAUUUACUCGUCUCUAAUGGCCAAGAACCUGAUUAGACCCUGGGUUCUUUAUCACGUGCCUCUUCCCAAAGCCACUCUCGUGAUGCAGUACUUGAUCGAGAUGGAUUCGAACCGCGGCUUCGCUCAUUCGUUGAAGAUCUGGAGUGGAACUACCCAUAUGUGCGGGUUAGUUCCUGAAAGCGACGACCCAAAUACGGGUCACCAACUGUACUGCUUCUGUUUCUGGGCGGCGCAGAAGUGCGUUGCCGUCUACAGACCGCCGGAAGGAUAUUCUAACGCAGAAAAACAAUUCCUCGCCAAGAUGUUCGGCGGCGAUCCCAUUGGCUUUGCGCGCGGCACUUUCAACGACCUGGACUCUGCGCACCAGGCAGCUGUCGCUUUGGCCCAGCCCCAGUCUUCCUAGGAAGGCCUUCGAAAAACGCUCGUCAUGCCUCGAUGCACCCACGCACCCUUCAAGCGAACUGCCAACGCCGACAUGUUACACGCUUUAAAACAAGGUCUCUUGUCGAAUGAGAAGCAUCUGAACCGGCCAGAACUACGACGCAGCUCGACCACGUCAGCUCGAGCGUGGCGCCCAAUCAACCCACUACGUAUUGGAACACUCAGUGCAACGUACCUUACGAAUACAUGACGUGGCCUAGCAUGCAGGGCUGAUAACACGUCAUUAACAUAUGUAUACCUUUAACAACAUUAAUUUUCAGUGCUCGGGAUGUGUCUAGCUAUGUGACGAAUAAAGUUUUAAUAAUGAGGU